GACGUGCACCCAACCGGACAACCCUAAAUCCACUCACUCCCUCUCCUCUCCGGUCGGCGGCUUGCGGCUGGCGACUCCCCAAGAUCCAGGGGCGGCAAGGCUGACGCUGGACGGUCGGAGGCCGGACGGAGAGACGAAGAAGAGAUCACGGGAUGGUGCUCCCCUGGCCCUCACCUUCUCCCCGUUCCUUGACUGGGCGGCCACUUCCUGCUCGGCUCGACGCCCUUCACCGGUCGCGGUCGACGACGCGCCAACACAUCAGCUUCGUUGGCUCGUGGGUCGUGGCAGACCCUCAGUAGGACGGCGACCACAUCCAUUGCGCUGUCCCCUUCCUGCUCCUCUGCUCGACGCCUUACUGCUCGACGUCCCAAUCUGGCUGCUCUGCUUCCCAACUGCUUCUUCUCACCAUGCUUCACCACCUCAAGGAGUCAAGAGCUCACUUCUCACCGUGGUUCUCCUCAGCUAGAACAAGCAGCAGAUGCAUCACUGAACAAAGUUUAGUUUAUACUGAUAAAUUCGUCUGAUAGACAGUACUCGUAGUAGGCUACUAGCACAAUGUCUUCAGUAGGAUCAGGGGCUUCCUCCGCUGCCGCAACUGGAAGAACAAGAAAAGAUCCAGCCUGGGAGCAUGCUUUACCAAUUACUGAUGAGUUCAGAACCAAAGAACAGAGUUGGAUGCAAAUACUGCUUGAACUUUUUCAAUGGUGGCAUUACCAGACUUAAGAAGCACAUGCUUGGAAUAAAAAAGGAUUGUGUAUCUUGCACACAGGUUCCUGAUCAUGUUAAAGAGAAGAUGCUUGCAUUGAUAGCUGAGAAUGAGAAAAAAGAACGAUAAAUCACUUGAUAUUGCUAGCUCUUGGUUGUACUUUUGAAGUCUGCACUUAUUUAUUAAUGAUGAAGCAGAAUGCCCAUGAAACAAAUCUGUUUGUGUUUGCUGUUUUAUUGGAUUAUUUUCUCGUGUUAUGUAUAAUCUAUUGUGUGUGUGUGCAAACUGACAAUGAUACAAAUAGUUUAUUAUUUCUA